CGGACGUUUUUCCUGGGAAUGGUCUGCUCUGGUGAUUUCCUGGAGUAUGAAUCGGCUCUGUCCCUAUCCCUCUGACUUGUUUAUGUUUUUAAACCGAAUGGUGUUUUACAUUAAAAUGCGCCCUUAAUAAAGAUACUUAUUUCGAGUCGAAAUUAGGUCUAAUGGCAUCAACUCUCCCUUUAUCAAUUUUCCGAAGGCGGAUACUUCAAAAUACGUCCCUACAAACUUAUUGUGUUACAAAAAACAUUUUGCCUGCAUUUCAAUGCUUGAAAAUCUCUAGAGCAAAUAGAUAUCACAGGGGUACUGUAUGCAAUAAUGUUAAACAAAAAUAUCUUCCCUAUUUACAUGAUUCAAAGCUUUUGAACCCUUCACUUACACCAAACUGGAAAACUGGAAUCCAAUUGCAGUCCCAUGGAAGUUCAUCCCAUUCACAUGAAUUCAUCGGUAACAAUGUUGGGCCUGUUUCAGGUCCACAGCUUGUGAAAUACUUGUUCAGAUACAUUUGGCCUAAAGAUAAUUGGGAAAUUAAACGCAGAGUUGUGUUUGCGUCAGGAUUGUUGGUUUCUGCUAAAUUACUAAAUGUUGGUGUUCCGUUCCUAUUUAAACAUGCUGUGGAUCUGCUCAAUACACACCUGGACUCCCCCUUGCACAUGGGUGACCCUCAAGCAACUAUCACAACAGCUGUAUUCACCGUUCUAGCUGCCUAUGGUAUUGCUCGUAUCGGGGCCUCGGGUAUGAACGAACUUCGCAACGCAGUGUUUGCAAAAGUAUCACAACAUUCAGUACGACAAAUAGCCAAAAAUGUCUUCAUGCACCUUCACAAUUUAGACCUGAACUUUCAUUUAAAUCGCCAAACAGGCGCCCUUUCGAAGGCUAUCGAUCGCGGCAGCCGAGGCAUAAAUUUUCUUCUAGCUGCCUUACUUUUCAAUGUCGUGCCCACAAUCUUUGAGGUGUCACUCGUAAGCACUAUUUUGGGAAUGCGAUGCGGUUGGGAAUUUGCCACUAUCACGCUUAGUUGCAUUGGUCUAUAUACUGGAUAUACUUUGGCAGUCACCCAAUGGCGAACCCGUUUCAGAAUUGCCAUGAAUCAAGCAGAGAAUGAAGCAGGAAACAAGGCUAUUGACUCACUGAUCAACUAUGAAACUGUGAAGUAUUUUAACAACGAAAAAUUUGAAGCCGAAGAAUAUGACAAGUCACUAAAAAAAUACGAAACUGCCUCUCUGAAGACAAAUUCAAGCCUUGCUCUGUUAAAUUUUGGACAGCAAACUAUUUUCAGUGUUGCGCUGACCGCAGUGAUGCUGCUUUCAGCGAAGCAAAUUGUCAAUGGGCAAAUGACAGUUGGAGAUCUUGUUAUGGUGAAUGGUCUUCUUUUCCAACUAUCUUUACCGUUGAAUUUUCUUGGUUCCGUGUACCGGGAAGUACGUCAAGCAGUAAUUGACAUGCAGGUUCUUUUUGCACUUCAAAACGUUAAAUCUUCGAUUCCUGUCACGACCGCAUUACCUUCAUUGAAACUGGAAACUUUUAAAGAAGCCACGAUCGAAUUCCAAGACGUGCAUUUUCACUAUGGCGGGAACAAAGAAAUUUUUAGUGGUUUAAACUUCACAGUUCCAGCUGGGAAAACGGUUGCCUUGGUUGGGGGCUCAGGUUCCGGGAAAUCGACGCUUAUAAGGCUUCUUUAUCGUUUGUUUGAUCCCCAACAAGGAAAGAUAUUGAUUGGAGGACAAGAUAUCAGUGCUGUUAAUGUUGACAGUCUUCGUCAGUCAAUUGCUAUUGUUCCACAGGAACCUGUACUGUUCAACAACUCCAUAUAUUAUAACUUGCAUUACGGCAACUUUGAAAAAAAUGAAAAAGAGGUUCAUCAAGCGGCAAAAAUGGCUGGAAUUCAUGAUUCAAUCAUGUCUUGGCCCAUGCAGUACAACACAUCGGUUGGGGAACGAGGGCUAAAACUGUCUGGUGGAGAGAAGCAGCGAGUUGCAAUCGCUAGAGCAAUAUUGAAAACCUCGCCAAUCCUGAUAUUCGAUGAAGCCACAUCGUCUUUAGACUCCGUAACCGAAAGUAACAUCAUGGAAGCAUUGAAGAGAGCGACAACCAAUAGAACUUCUAUCUGCAUUGCUCAUCGAUUGACCACUGUGAUUGAUGCAGAUGAAAUCUUUGUGCUCCAAGGCGGACGUAUAGUGGAGAGAGGGACACAUCCCGAAUUGCUUGCAACCGCCAAUAGUGUAUAUGCCAAACUAUGGAAUACCCAAUUCAGAACCCAUGGCUAAGCCAAACCUGAAUUGUUGUGACCAGUCAACAAAUGGCUGAUAGAAAGCUGGGAGUUAAAAAAGCUUUGUUUUUUUAUGUAACUGUAUAGGGAUUCAAGAAUUAUGAGAAGAUUAGUCAUAAUUAAAAAUGGGUAAACUAUUCAGUGGGAAAUUAAAUUUCUGGAUAGAAUGUAACCAGCAUUGUCAGCAAUCAAACACUAUGCCGAUGGUAAAAAAAUAUAAAGCUUGUUCAAUAGGUAACAACAUAUCGUUUGGGCGUGCAAAUAUGCCCCAUUUAAUAUCGAUCUAGAUUUGAUUCGUGAGUCAUGAUGAUAGCCAAAAAUAGCCACGA